GGGCCCCCGGCGCGGUGCCCCCGCCCGGCCCCGCCGGGGCUUUCCCGCGGCCGUGCCCCCCUCCGGGCGGUACCUGUAGGCCAGGGACAUGCACUCGAACAGCUUCGUGAGGGACGCGUCGAUGCUGAGGCGGCCGCCGGCGCCGCCGCCGCCGCGGGCCGCCCCGAACUGAAGCCAUCUGCAAGAAGCCAGGGCACCUGGAGAAGAAGCUGGAGACCUGCAGCAAGCACUGCUGGAGUCAGAGAGAGGGCAGGACAUGGAGCUUCUUCUGCCAGGCUCAUGGCUCACACCCCACGGUACCUGCUCGGUGGCACCUGUGAAGGAACCACAGUUGUUCCAGGGGAAGGAAAGAUCAGAUUUCAUCCUUCUUAAAAGCAUACAGGAAACAAUGGAUCCUGUAGGUCAACAUGAAAGCACAGCAGUAGGGCUGGUGAGGGGAGAGAGCAGCAUCCUACAUACCUACAAACCUCAUACCUGUGUACACAAAGUCAAGAGAAGAGGCCUUGAGUGUCCCCUGUAGAGCAAACCUCCAUCACCAGGAGAGCUAUCCUACAUGCCAUACUCCAAAGCACUGAUACUAAAUUGUGAAUAUUAUUUCAGUUCUAGGACCUCAUACUUAAAAUGAAAAAACAGGCUUGUCUACACAGCCAUGCUCAGGAGGGGAAAAACCUCCAAACAUUAAAUUGCCACGUGCUACGUUCUCUGCUUCGUAAAACCAGAAAUAAGAUCAAGGGAAACUCAAGAGAUUGAGAGCAAGUCUUGGGCAUGCAAAGAAGAGCAUUCCUGCAGUAUCCCAAUUACGCCCAUGCAAUGAUCCAGCAUUCCCCAUUAGCAUGAAUCAAGGCUGAUCACUGUGUUUAGGGGAGGAGUGGUAGGUCAAACACUCCCCCACACAUGAAAGCAGCAGGAAGGCAUGGCCACAUCAUGUGAGGGCUCUCUUAGAGAUCUUUAAAAACCAAAACCAACUUAGCAUCACAUACAACUCAAAUUCAUAUUUAGCUUCAAAGCUGGUUCUUGUUACCUUAUAUUAACAUUCGCUUAAAAAAAUAG